rnacentral:rRNA from 1 species
ACUAAGUGCACAUGGUGGAUGCCUUGGCGAUUACAGGCGAUGAAGGACGUAGUAGCCUGCGAAAAGCUACGGGGAGCUGGCAAACGAGCUUUUGAUCCGUAGAUAUCCGAAUGGGGAAACCCGGCGCGCAAGCGUCACUCCCACCUGAAUAUAUAGGGUGGGUAGAGCGAACGCAGCGAACUGAAAACAUCUAAGUAGCUGCAGGAAAAGAAAUCAACCGAGAUUCCCAAAGUAGUGGCGAGCGGAAAAUGGGAAGAGCCUGUAUGUGAUAGUCAACUGGUUAGUGGAACGGAAUGGAAAGUCCGGCGAUAGAGGGUGAUAGCCCCGUACACGAAAACUGGUUGGUGGUACUGAGCAUACGACAAGUAGGGCGGGGCACGAGAAACCUUGUCUGAACAUGGGGGGACCAUCCUCCAAGGCUAAAUACUCGUAAUCGACCGAUAGUGAACCAGUACCGUGAGGAAGGCGAAAGAACCCCGGAGGGGAGUGGAAAUAGAACCUGAAACCGUGUGCAUACAACAGU